AGUGAACGCUGGCGGUAGGCCUAACACAUGCAAGUCGAACGGCAGCACAGUAAGAGCUUGCUCUUACGGGUGGCGAGUGGCGGACGGGUGAGGAAUACAUCGGAAUCUACUUUUUCGUGGGGGAUAACGUAGGGAAACUUACGCUAAUACCGCAUACGACCUACGGGUGAAAGCAGGGGAUCUUCGGACCUUGCGCGAUUGAAUGAGCCGAUGUCGGAUUAGCUAGUUGGCGGGGUAAAGGCCCACCAAGGCGACGAUCCGUAGCUGGUCUGAGAGGAUGAUCAGCCACACUGGAACUGAGACACGGUCCAGACUCCUACGGGAGGCAGCAGUGGGGAAUAUUGGACAAUGGGCGCAAGCCUGAUCCAGCCAUACCGCGUGGGUGAAGAAGGCCUUCGGGUUGUAAAGCCCUUUUGUUGGGAAAGAAAGGCAGCAGGUUAAUACCCCGCUGUUCUGACGGUACCCAAAGAAUAAGCACCGGCUAACUUCGUGC
rnacentral:rRNA from 1 species